UGGUCAGGGAGAUGGAUUUAAAUCAGGGGUCGGUAACCUCCGGCCCACGGGCCAGAUCCGGCCCGCAACCCAAAAUCAUCCAGCCGGCAGGAGUGUAUUUUUUCACUUC